CAUAUUUUACCAUAAUGUAGAUAAUUUAUGUAAAUGACAUUGUGACCAAAUAUGAUUUUUUAAAAUAUUUGUAUCUGAUACUCAUUAAAGUUAUGUUGUCAAUCUCUUGCUAGAAUGGGCAGAUUACCCAGAAUGCUCUGGUCAGAAGGUCUGGAAUAUUCCUCUCUAUGUGGCUGCUUCUGGGAGUGGAAGUAAAAUACUGGCCUCCAUUGCAUGGGGCUCCCACAGGAAGUGACCCUUACUGAAGGUGAGCCCAGCUGAAAGCUGCAAAGUGCAUGUAAAAACAAUGAUGAAGAAAAUCAGCAGAAUCAAUAAAUGGGAGAAUGCAUAAUUCAUUACAGGUUUUAUAUUUGCUCCUACCUGCCUUGGACAAAGUCUUGCCCUGUGCCAAAUCCCUUGAAAUUGAAAGUUUUUCCAGCUUACCACUAACAACAAUCACUUCAAGUAAAGAGG